UGGCGAACGGGUGAGUAAUACAUCGGAACGUGUCCUGUAGUGGGGGAUAGCCCGGCGAAAGCCGGAUUAAUACCGCAUACGACCUAAGGGAGAAAGCGGGGGAUCUUCGGACCUCGCGCUAUAGGGGCGGCCGAUGGCAGAUUAGCUAGUUGGUGGGGUAAAGGCCUACCAAGGCGACGAUCUGUAGCUGGUCUGAGAGGACGACCAGCCACACUGGGACUGAGACGCGGCCCAGACUCCUACGGGAGGCAGCAGUGGGGAAUUUUGGACAAUGGGGGCAACCCUGAUCCAGCAAUGCCGCGUGUGUGAAGAAGGCCUUCGGGUUGUAAAGCACUUUUGUCCGGAAAGAAAACUUCGAGGCUAAUAUCCUUGGAGGAUGACGGUACCGGAAGAAUAAGCACCGGCUAACUACGUGCCAGCAGCCGCGGUAAUACGUAGGGUGCGAGCGUUAAUCGGAAUUACUGGGCGUAAAGCGUGCGCAGGCGGUCUGUUAAGACCGAUGUGAAAUCCCCGGGCUUAACCUGGGACUGCAUUGGUGACUGGCAGGCUUUGAGUGUGGCAGAGGGGGGUAGAAUUCCACGUGUAGCAGUGAAAUGCGUAGAGAUGUGGAGGAAUACCGAUGGCGAAGGCAGCCCCCUGGGCCGACACUGACGCUCAUGCACGAAAGCGUGGGGAGCAAACAGGAUUAGAUACCCUGGUAGUCCACGCUCUAAACGAUGUCAACUAGUUGUUGGGGAUUCGUUUCCUUAGUAACGUAGCUAACGCGUGAAGUUGACCGCCUGGGGAGUACGGUCGCAAGAUUAAAACUCAAAGGAAUUGACGGGGACCCGCACAAGCGGUGGAUGAUGUGGAUUAAUUCGAUGCAACGCGAAAAACCUUACCUACCCUUGACAUGGUCGGAACCCUGCUGAAAGGUGGGGGUGCUCGAAAGAGAACCGGCGCACAGGUGCUGCAUGGCUGUCGUCAGCUCGUGUCGUGAGAUGUUGGGUUAAGUCCCGCAACGAGCGCAACCCUUGUCCUUAGUUGCUACGCAAGAGCACUCUAAGGAGACUGCCGGUGACAAACCGGAGGAAGGUGGGGAUGACGUCAAGUCCUCAUGGCCCUUAUGGGUAGGGCUUCACA
rnacentral:rRNA from 4 species